rnacentral:rRNA from 1 species
GGGGAAUUUUCCGCAAUGGGCGAAAGCCUGACGGAGCAAUACCGCGUGAGGGAGGAAGGCUCUUGGGUUGUAAACCUCUUUUCUCAAGGAAGAAGUUCUGACGGUACUUGAGGAAUCAGCAUCGGCUAACUCCGUGCCAGCAGCCGCGGUAAUACGGAGGAUGCAAGCGUUAUCCGGAAUGAUUGGGCGUAAAGCGUCCGCAGGUGGUGGUGUGUGUCUAUUGUCAAAGCAUCAUGCUUAACAUGAUAAAGGCAGUAAAAACUGGGCGACUAGAGUGCGGUAGGGGUCAGGGGAAUUCCCAGUGUAGCGGUGAAAUGCGUAGAUAUUGGGAAGAACACCGGUGGUGAAAGCGCCUGACUGGACCUGCACUGACACUGAGGGACGAAAGCUAGGGGAGCGAAAGGGAUUAGAUACCCCAGUAGUC